UACGUAGGGUGCGAGCGUUACUCGGAAUUAUUGGGCGUAAAGAGCGUGUAGGCGGUCCGGUAAGUCAGCUGUGAAAGUCAAGGGCUCAACCCUUGAAUGCCGGUUGAUACUGUCGGGCUAGAGUCCGGAAGAGGCGAGUGGAAUUCCCGGUGUAGCGGUGAAAUGCGCAGAUAUCGGGAGGAACACCAAUGGCGAAGGCAGCUCGCUGGGACGGUACUGACGCUGAGACGCGAAAGCGUGGGGAGCAAACAGG
rnacentral:rRNA from 1 species